rnacentral:rRNA from 1 species
GUGGGGAAUAUUGGACAAUGGGCGAAAGCCUGAUCCAGCCAUGCCGCGUGUGUGAAGAAGGUCUUCGGAUUGUAAAGCACUUUAAGUUGGGAGGAAGGGCAGUAAGUUAAUACCUUGCUGUUUUGACGUUACCAACAGAAUAAGCACCGGCUAACUUCGUGCCAGCAGCCGCGGUAAUACGAAGGGUGCAAGCGUUAAUCGGAAUUACUGGGCGUAAAGCGCGCGUAGGUGGUUCAGCAAGUUGAAGGUGAAAUCCCCGGGCUCAACCUGGGAACUGCCUACAAAACUACUGAGCUAGAGUACGGUAGAGGGUAGUGGAAUUUCCUGUGUAGCGGUGAAAUGCGUAGAUAUAGGAAGGAACACCAGUGGCGAAGGCGACUACCUGGACUGAUACUGACACUGAGGUGCGAAAGCGUGGGGAGCAAACAGGAUUAGAUACCCGGGUAGUCC